GAUGAAGAACGUAGCGAAAUGCGAUAAGUAAUGUGAAUUGCAGAAUUCAGUGAAUCAUCGAAUCUUUGAACGCACAUUGCGCCCCUUGGUAUUCCGAGGGGCAUGCCUGUUCGAGCGUCAUUUCAACCAUCAAGCCCCAGGCUUGUGUUGGGGACCUGCGGCUGCCGCAGGCCCUGAAAACCAGUGGCGGGCUCGCUGUCACACCGGGCGUAGUAGAUUUUAUCUCGCUCAGGGCGUGCUGCGGGUUCCGGCCGUUAAAAAGCCUUUUUUACCCAAGGUUGACCUCGGAUCAGGUAGGAAGACCCGCUGAACUUAAGCAUAUCAAUAAGCGGAGGA
rnacentral:misc_RNA from 1 species